UACGAAGGGGGCUAGCGUUGCUCGGAAUUACUGGGCGUAAAGGGCGCGUAGGCGGCACUGUUAGUCAGGCGUGAAAGUCCUGGGCUCAACCUGGGAACUGCGCUUGAUACGGCAGAGCUAGAGGAUGGAAGGAGGGUCGCGGAAUUCCCAGUGUAGAGGUGAAAUUCGUAGAUAUUGGGAAGAACACCGGUGGCGAAGGCGGCGACCUGGUCCAUUACUGACGCUGAGGCGCGACAGCGUGGGGGAGCAAACAGG
rnacentral:rRNA from 1 species